UCUUGUGUUUGCUUUCCUGUGUAGACUUGGAAAGAUUUUGGAGAUUGAAGAAGUCGUAGAGGCUUUGAUGGAAGGAAUAGUGACCAACCGGAAAAUGGUUUUUGUUCCAAAAAAUCAGAGCAUUGCUUUAUUGUUUGAAAGGGUUUUUCCAGAACGUGCCCUGAACUUUCUGAAGAAGAUAUCUGAGGUCAAGUUUGAUGCAGUCAUUGGGCAGAGAAGCACCCAGUGAAAAGCAGGAAUUUAUUCUCAUUUCCCAGAGGCACCAGUGAAAACAGAACAUGUGCUGAGCAUAGUUCAGCUGGCUUGAUUCAGAACAGAGCUCAGGCAGGUGCUUCCAGGCCACCAUUCCCAGGCCUAGGAAUGCACCUACUUCUUAAUCUUUGUCCCAGGCACACCUAAGGGCUUAUCCCACUCCUGCAGCUGGAACACACCUGCAUAACAGGGAGUGUUAGCAAAGCAGUGAUGCAGCUCUAGAAGGGCUGCUUUUAAUGUACAUCCCAUCACCUUCGUCUCAUUUUGCUGAGGCAGGAAUUCCCACAAAGGUGGGUAGCCUGUUUUCACCUCAGUUUGUAUUUUUGAAUUAUAAAAUGCUCUAAUGAAUACCUAAUUUGCCAUAUUUUUGUAGGAAAUACCUGAAAUAAUAUAGGUGUAUAUGUAAUACACCUAAUUACAUCGAUUAUCAAUCAUGCAUUUGCACCAUCAAUAUGCCUUUAUAUGAAUAAAUGCUGUUCUUUAAUGCAAGGA